GCCAUCUUGGAUCAUCUGGGAGCAGCGGCGCUCUUGCUGCCGCUGUUGCUACUGAUUGAGGGAGCAAAGGGAACUCGUUUGGCGGCGGCGCGGCGGCAGAGGGUUCUCCUCUUUUCCACCCAGCGAGUCUCCAGGCUGUGGCGGAAGAGUCUUUCUCCUUGGGCCUGAGCCGGCCUCUUUGGGGUUGGGGUAGGCGGCAAAGAGGAGUUGGGAGUUCUGCUGGAGAAGAAGGAAGAGGAGGGGGCGCAAUUAAAACAUGAGAGCCGAGGCCCGAUGAAGCGAUCCGCGUAGAGAUAGAAAGGUUGAGGGGCUCGGCCCGCUCCUUUGACCAACUCUGGGUGGCUCCUUGCUGCUUUCGCAGCCGACAGUGGUUGCGCGGAAAGCGACUGUUGGUUUCUCACUUCCCUUCCUCAGCAGCCUGCUAGUUGGGCUGUAUUGCUGCAGCGCCCUGCACUCUCGCGUGCUGCUCCAUCUCUCCCGCUCGCGAGUUGCUAGUUCGUUCCCCGCUUUCUCUUCCUCUUACGGCACCGGGCAAUUUUUGGCCCAUGUUUUCUUUUGGUGCUCCAUGAGAAUCUUCUCUAAUCUGUCAUCCCCAACUUCUAAGGACCGUAAUCUGUCUAUAGGAUGAUUCCUGAAGAUUCCCAGGGGAAUACAAUGCUCCAUUAUCAGACUGGAAUAUAGAUGAGAAAGAGGGGUAGCGGUGGUGGAGGAAAAAACUCAAAUUUCUCUCCCCACACUCCCUUUUUCUUGAUGGUGGCACUUGAUAACCGCUAUCAUGCUGUAAAAUCACAUUUUUUUGUAAAUAUAUAUAUAUGUAUUUGGAGGGAGGGAGGUGUUAGGAUUUUUUUUUAUUUUUAUAUAAUACAUAGCUGGAUUUUGCCAUUGCAAACGGUGCUUCAGCUUAAGUGAAUGAAAAUGUCCACUAGAACUCCAUUGCCCACGGUGAAUGAACGCGACACUGAAAAUGAUGCUGGAACAUCUGUAGGGGAAAGCUUUUGUGAAAAGAAAGAACAACAACACUGAAAUUCAUGUACAGUGGUACCUCGGGAUACGAACGCCUCUACUAACGAACUUUUCGGGUUACAACC